rnacentral:rRNA from 1 species
UACGUAGGGUGCAAGCGUUAAUCGGAAUUACUGGGCGUAAAGCGUGCGCAGGCGGUUGUGCAAGACAGAGGGGAAAUCCCCGGGCUUAACCUGGGAACUGCCUUUGUGACUGCACGGCUAGAGUGUGUCAGAGGGGGGUAGAAUUCCACGUGUAGCAGUGAAAUGCGUAGAUAUGUGGAGGAAUACCGAUGGCGAAGGCAGCCCCCUGGGAUAACACUGACGCUCAUGCACGAAAGCGUGGGGAGCAAACAGG